rnacentral:misc_RNA from 1 species
GUGAAUCAUCGAAUCUUUGAACGCACCUUGCGCUCCUUGGUAUUCCGAGGAGCAUGCCUGUUUGAGUGUCAUUAAAUUCUCAACCUCACCCGUUUUCUGAACGGGGUCGAGGCUUGGAUGUGGGGGUUUGUGCAGGCUGCCUUCACUGGCGGUCUGCUCCCCUGAAAUGCAUUAGCGAGGUUCAUGCUGAACUUCCGUCUAUUGGUGUGAUAAUUAUCUACGCCGUGGACGAGGAUCAGACUCGCUUCUAACCGUCCGCGAGGACAAUACCUUGACAAUUUGACCUCAAAUCAGGUAGGA